UGAGUACGAGACGCUAAGGCGUCGAAGUAGUGGAUGUCAUACUUCCAAGAAAAGCUUGCACUGUCAUAAAUAAGAAAUGCCUGUACCAUAACCGACACAGGUGGGUAAGUAGAGUAUACUAAGGGGCGCGAGAUAACUCUCUCUAAGGAACUCGGCAAAAUAACUCCGUAACUUCGGGAGAAGGAGUGCCUUAUUCUUAAGGUUGCAAUAACAAGAUCCAAGCAACUGUUUAUCAAAAACACAGGUCUCCGCUAAGUCGUAAGACGAUGUAUGGGGGCUGACGCCUGCCCAGUGCCAGAAGGUUAAAGAAGUCGGUUAGCAAUAGCAAAGCUGGUAACUGAAGCCCUGGUGAACGGCGGCCGUAACGAUAACGGUCCUAAGGUAGCGAAAUUCCUUGUCGGGUAAGUUCCGACCCGCACGAAAGGCGUAAUGAUUUGGAUGCUGUCUCGGAGAGGGGCUCGGUGAAAUAGACUUGUCUGUGAAGAUGCGGACUACCUGCACCAGGACAGAAAGACCCUAUGAAGCUUUACUGUAACUUGAAAUUGAAAUUGGACUUUAUUCGCGCAGUAUAGGUGGGAGGCGUUGAUUAUAAUCUUGUGGGAUUAUUGGAGCCAUCAGUGAGAUACCACUCUUGUAAUGUUAGAUUUCUAACUUUGAAUCAUUAUCUGGUCAAAGGACAGUUUCAGGCGGGCAGUUUGACUGGGGCGGUCGCCUCCUAAACGGUAACGGAGGCGUACAAAGGUUUCCUCUGAACGGUUAGAAAUCGUAUCUAGAGUGUAAAGGCAUAAGGAAGCUUGACUGUGAGACCUACAAGUCGAGCAGGGACGAAAGUCGGUCUUAGUGAUCUGACGGUACUGAGUGGAAAGGCCGUCACUCAACGGAUAAAAGUUACUCUAAGGAUAACAGGCUGAUCUCCCCCAAGAGUUCACAUCGACGGGGAGGUUUGGCACCUCGAUGUCGGCUCAUCGCAUCCUGGGGCGGUAGUACGUCCCAAGGGUUGGGCUGUUCGCCCAUGAAAGCGGUACGCGAGCUGGGUUCAGAACGUCGUGAGACAGUUCGGUCCAUAUCCGGUGUAGGCGCUAGAAUAUUGAGAGGAGCCUUCUUUAGUACGAGAGGACCGAGAAGGACAUACCUCUGGUGUACCAGUUAUCGUGCCAACGGUAAACGCUGGGUAGCUAUGUAUGGAGUGGAUAACCGCUGAAAGCAUCUAAGUGGGAAGCCCACCUCAAGAUAAGUAUUCUCAC
rnacentral:rRNA from 1 species